AAUAUAGGAAUAUAAAAAGUUAUACUGGUCAUUGAGAUAAAAAAUGCAUCCGGUUAAUAAUGCGGUUAAGUUGGUUGAAGUGUUCAGACGUUCGAGACCAAUACUUUCGAGGUUACUAAAAAUGCUGCCUGUUGUAAUGUAUUCUCUUGUUGCAAUGCUUGCAUUUGGAGUUAUAUGUAUUUGUGUUGCACAAGCUCAAGCAAUAGAAAUGGAUAGUGAAUUUGGCGGUCGUGCUGGACUCUCAGCACAAGCGACUGAAAAUAGAAGAGGUUUUACAGUUGGUGGUGAUUUUCAUGUCCGAAGGGCUAAAAUAAGACAAAAGGAUGAUUCUCCUGAACGAAAGUCUCGCUAAAAGAUGACCCUUUUAAACAAAGUAUCGCUGUUAAAUGUAUAACUUAUGUGAGAUAUGUAAAAUUGAAUACACGUAAUGAAAUACAUGUACUGAA